rfam:Saccharomyces bayanus SCR1 gene for signal recognition particle RNA component
AGGCUGUAAUGGCUUUCUGGUGGGAUGGGAUACGUUGGGAAUUUUGGCCGAGGAACAAAUCCUUCCUCGCGGCCAGACACGGACUGCACGCCCUUUGGGCAAGGGAUGGUUCUCCAUCUCGCACCGUGCCCUGUUGUGGCAACCGUCUUUUCUCCGUCGCUAAUUUGUCCUGGGCAGAAAUGUCUGCUCGGAGGCGGGGGAGUCCGGUCUGAAGUGUCCCGGCUAUAAUAAAUCGAUCUUUGCGGGCAGCCCGUUGGCAGGAGGCGCGAGGAAUCCGUCUCUCUGUCUGGUGCGGCAAGGUAGUCCUGGGUCCCUUUGGGGCUCCACCUUCACCGCUGUUAGGGGAGUUUUAUCCAGCGGCAGCAAAGGUGACCCGUGAUGGAGGCGGCCGGGAUAGCACAUAUCAGUCGGAUAAUCGUGCAAGUUGAUCGUUUCGGCGGUCUAAUUUGGCGGUGCCAUCAGGAUUUACUCGCACAUUGUGUUCGUUCCCUCGGGGACGAGUGUGUAUCCUGAACCACAUUUUU